GUGCACGCUGGCGGUAGGCCUAACCCAUGCAAGUCGAACGGCAGCACAGUAAGAGCUUGCUCUUACGGGUGGCGAGUGGCGGACGGGUGAGGAAUACAUCGGAAUCUACUUUUUCGUGGGGGAUAACGUAGGGAAACUUACGCUAAUACCGCAUACGACCUACGGGUGAAAGCAGGGGAUCUUCGGACCUUGCGCGAUUGAAUGAGCCGAUGUCGGAUUAGCUAGUUGGCGGGGUAAAGGCCCACCAAGGCGACGAUCCGUAGCUGGUCUGAGAGGAUGAUCAGCCACACUGGAACUGAGACACGGUCCAGACUCCUACGGGAGGCAGCAGUGGGGAAUAUUGGACAAUGGGCGCAGGCCUGAUCCAGCCAUACCGCGUGGGUGAAGAAGGCCUUCGGGUUGUAAAGCCCUUUUGUUGGGAAAGAAAAGCAGCAGGUUAAUACCCCGCUGUUCUGACGGUACCCAAAGAAUAAGCACCGGCUAACUUCGUG
rnacentral:rRNA from 1 species